UCCUGGCAAGCAGGAGAGCAGCUGCGCUGCCAAGGUCCUGGGAGCCUUGGUGGACACUGCUGAACAGCGUGUGCUGCCAGCAAGGAAAGCCAACAAUUUCCUGGGCUGUGUCAGCAGCAGCAGCAGCACAGAUCAAGGGAAGUGAUGAACUGCCUCUGCUAUGCACAUGUUGGACCACAGUUACAGGGCUGUGUCCAGGUUCGGUCUGCCAGGAGAGAUGACGAGCGAGUUCAGCAGAGGGUCAUCAGGAUGGCUGGGUGCGGCGAGGCGUAGGUGGCCAAAGUCCGGCUAGCUGAAGGAUAUGGGCCGACACCUCAGCUGCAUCGAAGGCCUGUCCCCCUUGGCAUCUCGGCCUCGGGCUGGGCUGGAUCGCGGACCGGGUUCGCAGCGCUGGAGAGACGAGACAACGGAGCGACCACUUGCUGGGGGUGAAGUCUUCUGGGCAGCCUAACCAAGAACAUGACAGAGCAGUGAUUCUAUUCACCUGUUGGGGACAACUGAAAGACCUCCAGAAGGAAAAUAUUACUGAAGGAAAGAAGGAAAAUAAGCUCACAUCUGAAGCCUUCUUCCAUAUAAAAAGAAAGCAGGCAAACGACCUGCAAAAGACUCAAAAGUUUUAAAUUCUUUUGUUUCAUUGAAUUCCUGUAUUCCUUAUCAUAUUUUAAAUACUUGCUACAAUAUUGAAACAAAAUUAAAAAUAUGUGAUCACUAAGCUUAUCAAAAUAACCUGGAGGUACAAAAGAGUUAUUGCAAGGUUCAGCUGGGGUAUUAAUUUUUACACUGUCACAGUAAAUAACAGACUUUAAUCCUUCUGCACUGGCAGAUAAACUACCUUAGGAUCUAAGAAUAUGCACAUAGGCAGCAAGCUGGGAAGUAGUGUCCUGCAAGUUUGUACCUUAAGUAACAUGACAGUAACUUUGCUCUGUGCCAUGUUCUAAGAAGAAGAAUUGUGGAUAUAUGUGUUAGGGGUGCUUCCACUCCUGAAUUAGUAGGUCUGUGCCUACAGGCAAAAGUGUCUCAAAAAUUAUUUGAGACAGAUCCUCCAUUGCUGCAAUCUUGGUACUACCCUUCACGCUGGCAAGCAGUAGGUAUAAAAUAUAACAGCACUUUUCAGCCACUUUGUCUUCAUUUUGCACAGAUGUAAAUGAUUGCAAAGGUGCAGAGUUAUGGAGAAUCUGGCACUUAAUAAAUAUUAAUUAGCAAA